UUAUAAAAAUUUAAAUUUUUUUUUUUAUAAAAUUUUAUUUUUAAUAAAAUUUUUUAUAAUAAAUUAUAAUUUUUAAA
rnacentral:tRNA from 1 species